UCCCCUCCUUCUACAGUCAAGGGAUCUACCAUAUGAAAUUUAUGAUUCUUCUUCCUUUAUCACUUCUAUUCAUAUCCAACCAUUACCUAAAAAAUUGAAGCAACUAAUCAACUUGCCAGUUUGCCCAGAGGCCAAGAUAAUGGUCGAAACAAGCAAAUCAUAUUGGAAGAAGGCAGUGUACCUCUGCUAUUGAAGUUGUUAAAGGAAACUGGUUUGCUGAAGGUACAAAAUGUGUGCCACCGCACUUCUUUACUUGACUGAUCAAGAGAAGGUGGCAACUAUUGCGAAUGAACAAGGGGUUCCAACUGUAGUCAAGGUUCUGGCCAAUUUCCAAUGACAGAAACUCCCAUAAGAGUGUUUUCUUAAAGAAUUCUUGACAUGGAGUUUCUCCAACUAGACUAACCUUAAAGCCACUCGUGAGUUAGAUUUCAGACUGCUUCUUUCCAACCAGAUUCAAGACCAAGUGUGGAAAGGUGUGUGGAGUCUCCCAGUGCAACCAAAUAUCAAAAUGUUUAUUUGACAGGCUCUCCACAAUGUAAUUCCUGCAAGAAGCAAUCAGGUCAGUAGGGGUAUCCCUCCCUACCCGUUCUUGCUGUCCUAUCUGUCGCUAGGAGGACGAAACUUUGGAGCACAUGCUUUUCUGGUGCAAUCAUGCUCGAGCCUCAUGGCUCUCUAGCCCAUCACAGUAUAGACCUAACUCUAUAGGCUUUGCUUGCUUUGUCCGCAUAUCGAUCAAUUGUUAACGCAUCUCCAUGUGUUACUCGUAGACGGGUUAGUCG
rnacentral:misc_RNA from 1 species